CAGCUCAAACUUUCCUUCAGAAGUUCAGGAAGAAGUAUGGCAUGUACACAUUCAUCUAAGUCUGCCUGCUCGCCUGCCCAGCAGUAGAUCACAGCUCCGAAAGGGAUUUUGUCUCUUGCCCCUCACUUACAGUAUUUGA
rnacentral:lncRNA from 12 species